rnacentral:rRNA from 1 species
UACGGAGGGGGCUAGCGUUGUUCGGAAUUACUGGGCGUAAAGCGCACGUAGGCGGCUUUGUAAGUUAGAGGUGAAAGCCCGGAGCUUAACUCCGGAACUGCCUUUAAGACUGCAUCGCUCGAAUCAUGGAGAGGUCAGUGGAAUUCCGAGUGUAGAGGUGAAAUUCGUAGAUAUUCGGAAGAACACCAGUGGCGAAGGCGACUGACUGGACAUGUAUUGACGCUGAGGUGCGAAAGCGUGGAGAGCAAACAGG